GUUCCCACCAGAAAGUCCACCACUUUCAGUAAUCAUUGCUCUCUGUCUCUCAGCCUCUCCGGUAACUAUUGAUUCCUCAGUCGCCCGCAGCCACCGUCGCUUCUUACGUCUUCUUCGACGGGCGGAAAUUGAGUGGAACCACUGUUCUUCUCUGAUAUGUUAGUCGAUAAGGUAACAAACAUAUGUAUUAAAAGAGUACAAUGAGCUGCUUAACAAGGUUUUAGCAACAUAUGCAAAGAAGGGCUCGAGGAAGCAUGUGGCUGCCCCUAUGUCUAAAGACAGCCAACAGUUAUGAUAUGUAAUAACAAUUAUGUUGAAAUUUUACUUGUCCAGGGGGCUAUAUAAAUUUGAUGGAAUGGGAAAAACUUUGGUAUAUUAGUAAAAGAACAAUUGAUCCUGCCCUAGAACACGGCUGUGACUGCAGAGCACCGUGUACUAUUUACCUAAACUGGUGGUCUUGAUGAGCUAUUUGUUCGCUUAAUACAAAAGCACAAGAAAUUUGAAGGUGCUGGAGAAAAGGCAAGCACUUUCAGCAAGAGAAUUUGGAUGGAGGAAGCUGAUCCGAGUGUAAUAUCUAUUGUUGAGCAAGUAACUUUGAUGGAUUGGGGAAACACCAUAGUAAAGGAAAUCACAAAGAACUUGAAGGGUCAUGUCACUACGUUAUCUGGUGUUCUGAAUCACCAAGGAUCUAUAAAGACUACAAAGCUGAAGCUCACAUGGCUUCCUGACACCAAUGAAUUGCUGGAAGAUGAUGAUGAAGUUGCUGAUUUUGUGAAUCCUAACACGAAGAAGGAAACAUGCCACUUGGUGAUUCGAAUAUGAGGAAUCUGAGAGCAAAGUUUAUUUCAGAUGUGAUGUGCCUUUUUGUCAAAUCUUCUAAUCCCAUUGUCCUAUUCUCUAUUCCUAAUGGUAGAGCAACUAAGUGAUGAAUGAACUUGCCACAUAAGAAGUAAAAAAAACCCUAUUUUUUA